rnacentral:rRNA from 1 species
UUGAUGUUCUAACGUGGACCCGUAAUCCGGGUUGCGGACAGUGUCUGGUGGGUAGUUUGACUGGGGCGGUCUCCUCCUAAAGAGUAACGGAGGAGCACGAAGGUUGGCUAAUCCUGGUCGGACAUCAGGAGGUUAGUGCAAUGGCAUAAGCCAGCUUGACUGCGAGCGUGACGGCGCGAGCAGGUGCGAAAGCAGGUCAUAGUGAUCCGGUGGUUCUGAAUGGAAGGGCCAUCGCUCAACGGAUAAAAGGUACUCCGGGGAUAACAGGCUGAUACCGCCCAAGAGUUCAUAUCGACGGCGGUGUUUGGCACCUCGAUGUCGGCUCAUCACAUCCUGGGGCUGAAGUAGGUCCCAAGGGUAUGGCUGUUCGCCAUUUAAAGUGGUACGCGAGCUGGGUUUAGAACGUCGUGAGACAGUUCGGUCCCUAUCUGCCGUGGGCGCUGGAGAACUGAGGGGGGCUGCUCCUAGUACGAGAGGACCGGAGUGGACGCAUCACUGGUGUUCGGGUUGUCAUGCCAAUGGCACUGCCCGGUAGCUAAAUGCGGAAGAGAUAAGUGCUGAAAGCAUCUAAGCACGAAACUUGCCCCGAGAUGAGUUCUCCCUGAGACUUAGAGUCUCCUGAAGGAACGUUGAAGACGACGACGUUGAUAGGCCGGGUGUGUAAGCGCAGCGAUGCGUUGAGCUAACCGGUACUAAUGAACCGUGAGGCUUAACCUUACA